CCUGAAGAUACACACGCACACGUUUAUGUUGGAAGCUGCAUGUCUUGGCCGGCCGAAAAAGGAGGGUCCCGCCCACUUUCCCUCCUACUCCAAUGGUGGGCUGGAAGCACGCACAUCUGGGCAGGAGUCACCCGGGGAGUGAAGUUGAGGCUCUGCCGUGCUCUGAGCACAGAAGUUCGGGCGUGAGACCACGGAUGGACUUAGCUUGCAGAGGUGAUCCAGAAAUUCAAGCAAUGUGUUCUGUCCCACACAACGGAUGGGAGCCAGUUAAUGGCACUCCACCCUGUGGCUGCAUGUGCACACCUCCCAUGCAGGGCCAGUCCGGCACAAUGCUUCUGAUGAGCCAUCAAUAAUAGAAGAUGAGACAUAAACCACAGCAGCGAGGGCCCGAACAGAUGUCUGGUAGCCGCGAAAACUGUAGUGGGCAGGCAUUCGGCUUUGGUCAAAGGAAGCUGUGAAUUCUUGGGAGAAUGGAAGAUGUCUUCCACGGAGACAUGCUAAGCCCGCCCACGCCCGCUUGUUACCCCAAAAUGACCCCUGACCCAUCCUUGUGUUUAUAUCAGAGCAUGGAAGUGAGAAAUAGUGAUGAGUCAUUCCGGCCAUGUGUUUACACUCUGGAGUCACGCAAGGAAGGAAAUCAGCCACGGUCUGCUACAAGUGGUGAGCUGGAAGAGAGAAUAGCUGCGGCCCCUAAGCCCCGUGAAGGUGCACCUCUUCCCAAAGUGGAUUUUGGAGGAUUUACUUCACCUGAUCUCUGCUGCAAACGCUGUAAACUCAUAGAAAAUUGCAAAUUUAGCACGCAAAAUGAAUGUGUUUACAUUUAGGACAUUGCAAGGCAAAACCUUUCUCAUAUUUCCUGCCUAAAAUACAAGUUAACCUACCAGGAUUUACAGAUUUUGGAGAUCUAUGCUGUCAGUGGGACCAUUUAUUAUUAUUAAUAUUAUUUUUUGUUUUUGCAUUGACUUACAAGAAAAUAUUUCAGAUGUGUGUUUUGUAUAGUAACAGCAAACUCCAUUCAAAAUAUUUCUGCCAUUCCAGUUAAUGUCAAAAUAAAUGUAGACCUGACGAAAAUGAAUAA